rnacentral:rRNA from 1 species
UACAGAGGCCCCAAGCGUUACUGAGAAUCACUGGGUUUAAAGGGUGCGUAGGUGGUCCGUUAAGUUCGUUGUGAAAGCCCUGGGCUCAACCCAGGAACUGCUUCGAAUACUGGCGGACUUGAGGCUAGUAGAGGUCACUGGAACUGACGGUGGAGCGGUGAAAUGCGUAGAUAUCGUCGAGGAACGCCAAUGGUGAAGACAGGUGACUGGGCUAGUUCUGACACUGAGGCACGAAAGCGUGGGGAUCAAACGGG